AUUGAACGCUGGCGGCAUGCCUUACACAUGCAAGUCGAACGGCAGCACGGGAGCAAUCCUGGUGGCGAGUGGCGAACGGGUGAGUAAUGUAUCGGAACGUACCUUUCAGUGGGGGAUAACGUAGCGAAAGUUACGCUAAUACCGCAUAUUCUGUGAGCAGGAAAGUAGGGGACCGCAAGGCCUUAUGCUUUUGGAGCGGCCGAUAUCUGAUUAGCUAGUUGGUGAGGUAAUGGCUCACCAAGGCGACGAUCAGUAGCUGGUCUGAGAGGACGACCAGCCACACUGGAACUGAGACACGGUCCAGACUCCUACGGGAGGCAGCAGUGGGGAAUUUUGGACAAUGGGCGCAAGCCUGAUCCAGCAAUGCCGCGUGAGUGAAGAAGGCCUUCGGGUUGUAAAGCUCUUUUGUCAGGGAAGAAACGGCUGUGGCUAAUAUCCACGGCUAAUGACGGUACCUGAAGAAUAAGCACCGGCUAACUACGUGCCAGCAGCCGCGGUAAUACGUAGGGUGCAAGCGUUAAUCGGAAUUACUGGGCGUAAAGCGUGCGCAGGCGGUUUCGUAAGUCUGAUGUGAAAUCCCCGGGCUUAACCUGGGAAUUGCAUUGGAGACUGCGAGGCUAGAAUCUGGCAGAGGGGGGUAGAAUUCCACGUGUAGCAGUGAAAUGCGUAGAGAUGUGGAGGAACACCGAUGGCGAAGGCAGCCCCCUGGGUCAAGAUUGACGCUCAUGCACGAAAGCGUGGGGAGCAAACAGGAUUAGAUACCCUGGUAGUCCACGCCCUAAACGAUGUCUACUAGUUGUCGGGUUUUAAUUAACUUGGUAACGCAGCUAACGCGUGAAGUAG
rnacentral:rRNA from 1 species